rnacentral:rRNA from 1 species
AAGGCUCGUCCGCUCUGGGUUAGUCGGGUCCUAAGCUGAGGCCGACAGGCGUAGGCGAUGGAUAACAGGUUGAUAUUCCUGUACCACCUAUAAUCGUUUUAAUCGAUGGGGGGACGCAGUAGGAUAGGCGAAGCGUGCGAUUGGAUUGCACGUCUAAGCAGUAAGGCUGAGUAUUAGGCAAAUCCGGUACUCGUUAAGGCUGAGCUGUGAUGGGGAGAAGACAUUGUGUCUUCGAGUCGUUGAUUUCACACUGCCGAGAAAAGCCUCUAGAUAGAAAAUAGGUGCCCGUACCGCAAACCGACACAGGUAGUCAAGAUGAGAAUUCUAAGGUGAGCGAGCGAACUCUCGUUAAGGAACUCGGCAAAAUGACCCCGUAACUUCGGGAGAAGGGGUGCUCUUUAGGGUUAACGCCCAGAAGAGCCGCAGUGAAUAGGCCCAAGCGACUGUUUAUCAAAAACACAGGUCUCUGCUAAACCGUAAGGUGAUGUAUAGGGGCUGACGCCUGCCCGGUGCUGGAAGGUUAAGAGGAGUGGUUAGCUUCUGCGAAGCUACGAAUCGAAGCCCCAGUAAACGGCGGCCGUAACUAUAACGGUCCUAAGGUAGCGAAAUUCCUUGUCGGGUAAGUUCCGACCCGCACGAAAGGCGUAACGAUUUGGGCACUGUCUCAACGAGAGACUCGGUGAAAUCAUAGUACCUGUGAAGAUGCAGGUUACCCGCGACAGGACGGAAAGACCCCGUGGAGCUUUACUGUAGCCUGAUAUUGAAAUUCGGCACAGCUUGUACAGGAUAGGUAGGAGCCUUUGAAACGUGAGCGCUAGCUUACGUGGAGGCGCUGGUGGGAUACUACCCUAGCUGUGUUGGCUUUCUAACCCGCACCACUUAUCGUGGUGGGAGACAGUGUCAGGCGGGCAGUUUGACUGGGGCGGUCGCCUCCUAAAAGGUAACGGAGGCGCUCAAAGGUUCCCUCAGAAUGGUUGGAAAUCAUUCAUAGAGUGUAAAGGCAUAAGGGAGCUUGACUGCGAGACCUACAAGUCGAGCAGGGUCGAAAGACGGACUUAGUGAUCCGGUGGUUCCGCAUGGAAGGGCCAUCGCUCAACGGAUAAAAGCUACCCCGGGGAUAACAGGCUUAUCUCCCCCAAGAGUUCACAUCGACGGGGAGGUUUGGCACCUCGAUGUCGGCUCAUCGCAUCCUGGGGCUGUAGUCGGUCCCAAGGGUUGGGCUGUUCGCCCAUUAAAGCGGUACGCGAGCUGGGUUCAGAACGUCGUGAGACAGUUCGGUCCCUAUCCGUCGUGGGCGUAGGAAAUUUGAGAGGAGCUGUCCUUAGUACGAGAGGACCGGGAUGGACAUACCUCUGGUGUACCAGUUGUCGUGCCAACGGCAUAGCUGGGUAGCUAUGUGUGGACGGGAUAAGUGCUGAAAGCAUCUAAGCAUGAAGCCCCCCUCAAGAUGAGAUUUCCCAACUUCGGUUAUAAGAUCCCUCAAAGAUGAUGAGGUUAAUAGGUUCGAGGUGGAAGCAUGGUGACAUGUGGAGCUGACGAAUACUAAUCGAUCGAAGACUUAAUCAA